AGUGAACGCUGGCGGUAGGCCUAACACAUGCAAGUCGAACGGCAGCACAGUAAGAGCUUGCUCUUACGGGUGGCGAGUGGCAGACGGGUGAGGAAUACAUCGGAAUCUACUUUUUCGUGGGGGAUAACGUAGGGAAACUUACGCUAAUACCGCAUACGACCUACGGGUGAAAGCAGGGGAUCUUCGGACCUUGCGCGAUUGAAUGAGCCGAUGUCGGAUUAGCUAGUUGGCGGGGUAAAGGCCCACCAAGGCGACGAUCCGUAGCUGGUCUGAGAGGAUGAUCAGCCACACUGGAACUGAGACACGGUCCAGACUCCUACGGGAGGCAGCAGUGGGGAAUAUUGGACAAUGGGCGCAAGCCUGAUCCAGCCAUACUGCGUGGGUGAAGAAGGCCUUCGGGUUGUAAAGCCCUUUUGUUGGGAAAGAAAAGCAGCAGGUUAAUACCCCGCUGUUCUGACGGUACCCAAAGAAUAAGCACCGGCUAACUUCGUG
rnacentral:rRNA from 1 species